rnacentral:misc_RNA from 1 species
GUGAAUCAUCAAAUCUUUGAACGCAAAUUGCACUCUCUGGUAUUCCGGAGCGUAUUCCUGUUUGAGGCUCAGAUUAAAUAAAAAUCGGUGUGGUUGCUGCCUUUCGUGGUGACGCACCGGAUUUUCGUCGUCUUGCCUUCGGUUAAGUGACCUAAACUUUUGCAUGAUUUUUUCGACGGUUUUUAAAUGAUUUUACGUUCGUUUGCUAUA